AUUGAACGCUGGCGGAAUGCUUUACACAUGCAAGUCGAACGGCAGCACGGGGGCAGCCCUGGUGGCGAGUGGCGAACGGGUGAGUAAUACAUCGGAACGUGCCCGGUCGUGGGGGAUAACGUAGCGAAAGUUACGCUAAUACCGCAUACGAUCUGAGGAUGAAAGCGGGGGACCUUCGGGCCUCGCGCGAUCGGAGCGGCCGAUGUCAGAUUAGGUAGUCGGUGGGGUAAAGGCCUACCAAGCCGACGAUCUGUAGCUGGUCUGAGAGGACGACCAGCCACACUGGGACUGAGACACGGCCCAGACUCCUACGGGAGGCAGCAGUGGGGAAUUUUGGACAAUGGGCGCAAGCCUGAUCCAGCCAUUCCGCGUGCAGGACGAAGGCCUUCGGGUUGUAAACUGCUUUUGUACGGAACGAAAAGGCUCUGGCUAAUACCUGGGGCUCAUGACGGUACCGUAAGAAUAAGCACCGGCUAACUACGU
rnacentral:rRNA from 1 species